rnacentral:sRNA from 1 species
UGUUAAACAACACGAUCGGCACUCGCGGCGUUGAGGUGAGGUGAGGUGAGAAUCAAGACCUUUUCUCAGCCAGUCACUCAGGACAGGAGUCAAACACUUGUUGCCAAUUAAUCAGGCACUCGGGUAGUUAAGCUAAGCUAAGACCUGUCGUCAACAUUGCGUAUACGAUUGGAAGGCGAGAAGAAAAUUGUCAAGCGGGCAAUCUGGUUGACGUUGACAUUAGUUUAAAAAUUGGAUAUAUCGAAUGAUGCAAGAAUAACGUAAUAAAACUUUGCCAUUAAAGGGGAUAUGCUAUCAGCAAUCGAAAGGACUGUUAAGUAUUCUUUUAUUGACUAUAAAAAGGUUAUUGCUGCUCCGAAUGUGAAAUUUACUUUGCAGUUUUGCUAUAAAUUAUUAUCUGAGGAAUACAGGAUAUAAUUAUGUUGUUGAAAACUGAAAUAAUGCGAUGCUAAACUGAUCUCUUAUGUACUUGUGCUUGCAAAACUUCCCUUAAUCUGGCAUCUAGAAUCCGAUGAGCAACACUUUCGGUUGCGAAACGCCAUUGAAACGACUCAGCGGAGUGUGGUGCAAGCAUCCUCAGACUUCCACAGCCACCGACAGCUGCUUACGGCUUACUGAUGCUGAUGCUGCUGUUGCUGCUGCAACUCCACCUACAGAUACGGAUUUGUGGCAUUGAAAGGGGUGAGGCGUGCGGAUGGCGAGGGGUAAGCAGCAGCAGCAGCAUCCGCUGUUACUUCAGAACAAAAUGCAAAAACAAAUGCGACGAGACGAUGAAGCCAACGACCGCAAACGUGCAGCGACAACAACAAAGGCAGCGCUCCAAAAAAUGCAGCAGCCAAACAAACCACUCGACUGGGAUCGGAAUUCGCUUCCUCCCCCUCGCCAGCCCCGCUCCCACCCAUCCACUGUCACGAACCGGAAGUAAAAACGUGCCAACAGAAGAUGCGAAUUUCUGCUGCUGCUGCUGCGAUGUUGCCGCGGCUGUGAUGUUGCUACUUUUGCCACUGCUGAUGUUGCUGCAUCUGCAUCUGCGGCGCUCGCGAAAGCAGGAAAGCAGCAGCAAGUGCCAGUCGCACAGUUCUCUGCAUUCUCGUCCAGUUUAAGGGAUGGGGUGCACUGAACAAAAUCAUCAUAGUAAUAAAAAACAUUAAUUUUGUAUGGACAAAACA